rnacentral:rRNA from 1 species
UACUUCUGGGGUAGGGGUAAAAUCCUGUAAUCCUAGAAGGACCACCGGUGGCGAAGGCGUCUGACUAGAACGAAUUCGACGGUGAGGAACGAAGCCCUGGGGCGCAAACGGGAUUAGAUACCCCGGUAGUCCAGGGUGUAAACGCUGCGGGCUUGGUGUUGGGGGUCCUUAGUGGGCGCCCAGUGCCGGAGAGAAGUUGUUAAGCCUGCUGCUUGGGGAGUACGUCCGCAAGGAUGAAACUUAAAGGAAU